rnacentral:rRNA from 1 species
AACGAACGCUGGCGGCAUGCCUAACACAUGCAAGUCGAACGAAGCCUUCGGGCUUAGUGGCGCACGGGUGCGUAACGCGUGGGAAUCUGCCCUUUGGUUCGGAAUAACAGUUGGAAACGACUGCUAAUACCGGAUGAUGACGAAAGUCCAAAGAUUUAUCGCCAGAGGAUGAGCCCGCGUAGGAUUAGCUAGUUGGUGUGGCAAAGGCGCACCAAGGCGACGAUCCUUAGCUGGUCUGAGAGGAUGAUCAGCCACACUGGGACUGAGACACGGCCCAGACUCCUACGGGAGGCAGCAGUGGGGAAUAUUGGACAAUGGGCGAAAGCCUGAUCCAGCAAUGCCGCGUGAGUGAUGAAGGCCCUAGGGUUGUAAAGCUCUUUUACCCGGGAUGAUAAUGACAGUACCGGGAGAAUAAGCCCCGGCUAACUCCGUGCCAGCCGCCGCAGUAA